rnacentral:rRNA from 1 species
GACGAACGCUGGCGGCGUGCCUAAUACAUGCAAGUAGGACGCAGUUGCGAACGGGUGCGUAACGCGUAGGUAACUGCCUAUUAGAGGGGGAUAACUAUUGGAAACGAUAGCUAAUACCGCAUACUAGUAGAUGGACCUGCGUUGUAUUAGCUAGUAGGUAGGGUAAUGGCCUACCUAGGCGAAGAUACAUAGCCGAACCGAGAGGGCGAUCGGCCACACUGGGACGUGGAAACGGCCCAGACCCCUACGGGUGGCAGCAGUAGGGAAUCUUCGGCAAUGGGGGGAACCCUGACCGAGCAACGCCGCGUGAGUGAAGAAGGUUUUCGGAUCGUAAAGCUCUGUUGUGAAGGAAGCGGUACUUAAACAGAAAGGGACGGCUAACUACGUGCCAGCAGCCGCGGUAAUUC